rnacentral:rRNA from 1 species
GUGGUAUCCUGUCUGAAUAUGUGGGGACCAUCCUCCAAGGCAAAAUAAUCAUCACAGACCGAAAUUGAACCAGUACAGAGAGGUAAAGGCGAAAAUAACCCCGGCGAGGUGAGUGAAAAAUAACCUGAAACCGUGUACGUACAAGCAGUGGGAGCACCAUUAUGCGUGUGAAUGCGUACCUUAUGUAAAAUGGGUCAGCGACUUAUAUUAUGUAGCAAGUUUAACCGAAUAGGGGAGCCGGAGGGAAACCGAGUCUUAAAUUGCCGUUAAGUAGCAGGGUAUACACCCGAAACACGGAGAUCAAUCCAUGGGCAGGUAGAAGGAUCGCUAAAAAUAACACAAGCACCUAACCCACUAAACAUGAAAAAUUACCGUAUUACAUAUGCCAUCGCUUGAAAUGCCCAACAAACCCAAA